GACGAACGCUGGCGGCGUGCCUAAUACAUGCAAGUUGAGCGAUGAAGAUUGGUGCUUGCACCAAUUUGAAGAGCAGCGAACGGGUGAGUAACGCGUGGGGAAUCUGCCUUUGAGCGGGGGACAACAUUUGGAAACGAAUGCUAAUACCGCAUAACAACUUUAAACAUAAGUUUUAAGUUUGAAAGAUGCAAUUGCAUCACUCAAAGAUGAUCCCGCGUUGUAUUAGCUAGUUGGUGAGGUAAAGGCUCACCAAGGCGAUGAUACAUAGCCGACCUGAGAGGGGGGGUGGCCCAAAUGGGAACUGGACACGGCCCCAAACUCCUAGGGGAGGAGCAGGAGGGGAACCUUCGGAAAUGAAGAAAAGCCUAACGGGGAACGGCGGGGGAGGUGAGAAGGGUUUUGGGUUCGUAAAACUCGGUUGGUGGGAAGGAAGGUGGGGGGAGUGGAAAGGCCAAUAAGUGACGGUAAAUACCCAAAAAGGGACGGCUAACUACGUG
rnacentral:rRNA from 1 species